rnacentral:tRNA from 2 species
GCGGGUAUAGUUCAGCGGUAGAACUCCAGCCUUCCAAGCUGGUCACGCGGGUUCGAUUCCCGCUACCCGCUCCA